UAUCCCCUGCGGUGUUCGUGAAGGCACACAAUUCCUUUGUACCAAUGCGUUCGCUUUUGGCUGCCAGCGUGAGACAUGGGCGUGCCGCGUUCUCUGGUGAACGCGCCCGAAAUGUCUGGCAGGCGGCCCCUCCUGGAAACAGGGUACAAGCGAAUUUAGCCCGAACGGCACUCGCGGGGGUUCC
rfam:Chromobacterium violaceum ATCC 12472, complete genome.